AUCCAACUCGGAAAUUAGUUGCCUUAACUCAAAUAACUAAUUAACAAAGAAACUUAUAUGUCAUGGAAGUUGCCGUAACUCACAAAUGUGUUUUGCAUGUCUGUUUUAAGUCAAUGUUGAGAAAAAUUGAGCUUGAAAGUCUGGAAAAAUAAAAUAUGUACGUAAAUUGCAGCAACGUCUUUGCCAAGUUGACGCAACUUUUUUGAAAUAUGACUGAGCAUGCUCAGUAGGAGGCAACGUCCAAGAGGUCAGAAGAGCAAUGAAUCCACCGCAGCGCCAUUGCAAUCCACACCUCUUGUAACUUCGUUGUGAAUGGUGAUGCAGUGCAAAUUCUGUACAUUUUCACACCACAGCACAGAGACUCUUCUGAGACACCACAGAAUUCACCACGGUCAUAUGAGAACAACUGAGCAGCACAACAACCUGCUGGCAAAUAUCGACGGCAGC